AUUGAACGCUGGCGGCAUGCCUUACACAUGCAAGUCGAACGGUAACAGGUCUUCGGAUGCUGACGAGUGGCGAGCGGGUGAGUAAUACAUCGGAACGUGCCCGAGAGUGGGGGAUAACGAGGCGAAAGCUUUGCUAAUACCGCAUACGAUCUCAGGAUGAAAGCAGGGGACCGCAAGGCCUUGCGCUCACGGAGCGGCCGAUGGCAGAUUAGGUAGUUGGUGGGAUAAAAGCUUACCAAGCCGACGAUCUGUAGCUGGUCUGAGAGGACGACCAGCUACACUGGGACUGAGACACGGCCCAGACUCCUACGGGAGGCAGCAGUGGGGAAUUUUGGACAAUGGGCGCAAGCCUGAUCCAGCCAUGCCGCGUGCAGGAUGAAGGCCUUCGGGUUGUAAACUGCUUUUGUACGGAACGAAAAGACUCUGGUUAAUACCUGGGGUCCAUGACGGUACCGUAAGAAUAAGCACCGGCUAACUACGUGCCAGCCGCCGCCGUAAGAC
rnacentral:rRNA from 1 species